AUUGAGUGCAGACUUAUGGAGAGUCGACCAGCAGUGUUGAAGUCAUGGCGCUUGGCAAAGGCCUGAGCUAUGACUCUGUGUCGGGCAAGGCGCAGAGGCUCCUCACUUGAGACACCUGCAACUCUAAGAGUCAGCCUCCACCUGGGCCAGUGCCAUGAUGGUGAUGGUGAGCACCAGCGGCAGCGACCACGACACCAGGUGGAAGUAUGCUGCCCGCCGCUCCAGCUCAUCCCCACACAGUCCAGCUGCUGUGAUGCAAGAACCUCAAUGAUUAAAGUCACAUCAAAAUCUACUUUCUAUUUUAUUGCAUUAUCAGCAGCUGGUGAUUCAGUGGCUGACAAACAUAAACAGUACAGAUGGGUCUCAGUUUAUAUGAGUUACUUUUCCCUAAAAAAAAAUUUGUAAAACAUAAAUUAGUAAAUCAGCAAAGUUGUAAUUCAACUUCUUUUACAUUUGAUGCAUUUUUAGUAUUACUUUCACUCAUUUUUUUUUCUGAUUUUUAUUCAUAAAUCCAAAUUCUGCAUUCAUAAAAUGACACAAGGCAAAAGUAUCCAGUCUGUCAUAUGAAGAAAAUUUAAUUUGAAUUAUUGUAAAUUAAGAUUCACUAGUGUUUGAAAGAUAAUACAAUGAUAAAACCUAAGUAAAUAAAAGUUGCCUAACAUGUCAACACUGCAUGCAUAUUGAGAGAUUUAUUCUGUGCAUAAGGAACACAACAUCUCACAUUGUUUCAUUUAGGGAAUUCUCACCAUAUGACUUGAAGCUGGUGUGGAGGGAGUAUGCCAAGAUGAUGAUCCACAAGCCGCCUGCCAUCAUGAAGUAGUACAGGCACACAAACACCACCACACAGGAGAUGUUUCCACCGGAACUGUAUGAGCGAAAAAUACCAAAUGGAAUUGUCCAAAAGUAACAGAGUGCCAUCUGAGCGGCAGGUGAGGUCCUGACGAACCCCCGGAUGAAAUUGAACCAUGAACCCAAUGCUGGCUACCAAGAAGCAGCCAUUGAUGUAGAAGAUAAUGAGCACUGGAUACUUGUUUGCUG